GGGAAUAUAGUUCAAUAGGUAUAACAUAUGUCUUGCAUACAUAAAAUACAGGUUCGAGUCCUGUUAUUUCCA
rnacentral:tRNA from 1 species